GAUGAACGCUGGCGGCGUGCCUAAUACAUGCAAGUCGAGCGAACGGACGAGAAGCUUGCUUCUCUGAUGUUAGCGGCGGACGGGUGAGUAACACGUGGAUAACCUACCUAUAAGACUGGGAUAACUUCAGGAAACCGGAGCUAAUACCGGAUAAUAUUUUGAACCGCAUGGUUCAAAAGUGAAAGACGGUCUUGCUGUCACUUAUAGAUGGAUCCGCGCUGCAUUAGCUAGUUGGUAAGGUAACGGCUUACCAAGGCAACGAUGCAUAGCCGACCUGAGAGGGUGAUCGGCCACACUGGAACUGAGACACGGUCCAGACUCCUACGGGAGGCAGCAGUAGGGAAUCUUCCGCAAUGGGCGAAAGCCUGACGGAGCAACGCCGCGUGAGUGAUGAAGGUCUUCGGAUCGUAAAACUCUGUUAUUAGGGAAGAACAUAUGUGUAAGUAACUGUGCACAUCUUGACGGUACCUAAUCAGAAAGCCACGGCUAACUACGUG
rnacentral:rRNA from 1 species